rnacentral:misc_RNA from 1 species
GGAAGUAAAAGUUGUAACAAGGUUUCCGUAGGUGAACCUGCGGAAGGAUCAUUACCGAGUGAGGGCCCUCUGGGUCCAACCUCCCACCCGUGUUUAUUAUACCUUGUUGCUUUGGCGGGCCCGCCUCACGGCCGCCGGGGGGCUUCUGCCCCCGGGCCCGUGCCCGCCGAAGACACCUUAGAACUCUGUCUGAAGAUUGUAGUCUGAGUAAAAAUAUAAAUUAUUUAAAACUUUCAACAACGGAUCUCUUGGUUCCG